rnacentral:rRNA from 1 species
AGAGUUUGAUCUGGCUCAGAUUGAACGCUGGCGGCAUGCCUUACACAUGCAAGUCGAACGGCAGCGCGGGGGCAACCCUGGCGGCGAGUGGCGAACGGGUGAGUAAUACAUCGGAACGUGUCCUGGAGUGGGGGAUAGCUCGGCGAAAGCCGGAUUAAUACCGCAUACGCUCUGAGGAGGAAAGCGGGGGACCUGCAAGGGCCUCGCGCUCAAGGGGCGGCCGAUGGCAGAUUAGCUAGUUGGUGGGGUAAAGGCCUACCAAGGCGACGAUCUGUAGCUGGUCUGAGAGGACGACCAGCCACACUGGGACUGAGACACGGCCCAGACUCCUACGGGAGGCAGCAGUGGGGAAUUUUGGACAAUGGGCGCAAGCCUGAUCCAGCAAUGCCGCGUGUGUGAAGAAGGCCUUCGGGUUGUAAAGCACUUUUGUCCGGAAAGAAAACAUCCGCACUAAUACUGGGGAUGGCUGACGGUACCGGAAGAAUAAGCACCGGCUAACUACGUGCCAGCAGCCGCGGUAAUACGUAGGGUGCAAGCGUUAAUCGGAAUUACUGGGCGUAAAG